GGGCUCAGGGCUCCACGUCUCGGUGGGCGUGGUCACCUGGUACCGCCCCCUCGUCUCGAGCCACGCGCUUCCCCCUGGCAGUUUGUCCGUGAGAGAGGCGGGGAGAAACUCUGGCGAAGAGACCUGGACUGCGCGAGAGACGCUGUUAGUUCUGUGCACCCUGCUCUGCAAUUGGCCACCAUGGAGAUGAGCCAAUCUGGAGAGGCGAGGAAUGAGGGCGAAUUUUGUACCACGUGGAGGGCGCUGUCCUCAGAGGGCACCGCCUCCAUCUGCAUCAAAUCACCGCAAGCGCUCGCUCAAGCUGCGGAGAGACACCAGUGCCGGCUUCACAAGCGUGGUGGCACCAGCAGUACCCCGAACCGAGCAGAGCCCGGACUCGACACGCACUUGGGCCGACCGGACCAGGCCCCAACUUUAAUAAACAAAACAAAACUAGCUUCGACCCUAACUGCACGA